GACCAUCAAAGAGAUGCUCUGCCAAGCUGGAUUCCAGGGCCCCCAUCUUGUGCAAGUUGGUGACGUCAUCUCCCAAGCCUUUGAUGGACUUCACCUGCCCAUUCAGAACAACAGGCCCCUGCCAGAAUAGAAGCUACCGCUUUGCUCUGCAUCCCACCCCAGGGAGCCACAGGUGUCACUGUCAACUGUUUGGUGUAUAUCCUACAAAACUUUCUUUCUAUGCACACAUAAAUAAGAAUUGAGCACUUAUGAGUGAAGAACUCUUCAUGUUAAUUUUUGGUUAUAGACAUUAACAAGAUAGAUGGAUUCCCGACUCUAACAGAGACCUCUG